GAUGAAGAACGUAGCGAAAUGCGAUAAGUAGUGUGAAUUGCAGAAGUACCGUGAAUCAUCGAAUCUUUGAACGCAAAUUGCACUCUCUGGUAUUCCGGGGAGUAUGCCUGUUUGAGGGUCGCUUAACAAACCAUCGAUUUCGUUGCUUUUUUUUUAAAAAGUGAUGUUUAUCGGAUUUUAGCCGUCUUUUUUUUUUUUAUUUAAGUGGCUUAAAAUUGAUUUUUUUGGUACGAUCGAAGCGUAUUUUUAUGAUCAAUUUUUGGUUAAAGAAACGCACACGUACCGUUAUUUAUAUGAUGUAAUACGUUUGACUAUUGGAUUUAGUUCAUUCGUAUACGAUAUUUUUCAAUAUUUGACCUCAAAUCAGGUAAGAACACCCGCUGAACUUAAGCAUAUCAAUAAGCGGAGGA
rnacentral:misc_RNA from 1 species